rnacentral:rRNA from 2 species
AGUGGGGAAUAUUGGACAAUGGGGGCAACCCUGAUCCAGCCAUGCCGCGUGAGUGAUGAAGGCCCUAGGGUUGUAAAGCUCUUUCGGCGGGGACGAUAAUGACGGUACCCGCAGAAGAAGCCCCGGCUAACUUCGUGCCAGCAGCCGCGGUAAUACGAAGGGGGCUAGCGUUGCUCGGAAUCACUGGGCGUAAAGCGCACGUAGGCGGAUCUUUAAGUCAGGGGUGAAAUCCCGAGGCUCAACCUCGGAACUGCCUUUGAUACUGGGGAUCUCGAGUCCGGAAGAGGUUGGUGGAACUCCGAGUGUAGAGGUGAAAUUCGUAGAUAUUCGGAAGAACACCAGUGGCGAAGGCGGCCAACUGGUCCGGUACUGACGCUGAGGUGCGAAAGCGUGGGGAGCAAA